UCGGCUUAGAGUUUGAUCAUGGCUCAGGACGAACGCUGGCGGCGUGCUUAACACAUGCAAGUCGAACGAUGGCCCAGCUUGCUGGGUAUUAGUGGCGAACGGGUGAGUAACACGUGAGUAACCUGCCUCAAACUUCGGGAUAAGCGCUGGAAACGGCGUCUAAUAGCGAAUAUGACCCAUGCGGCAUCGUUGUGGGUGAAAGAUUUAUCGGUUUGAGAUGGACUCGCGGCCUAUCAGCUUGUUGGUGAGGUAAUGGCUCACCAAGGCGACGACGGGUAGCCGGCCUGAGAGGGUGACCGGCCACACUGGGACUGAGACACGGCCCAGACUCCUACGGGAGGCAGCAGUGGGGAAUAUUGCACAAUGGGCGCAAGCCUGAUGCAGCAACGCCGCGUGAGGGACGAAGGCCUUCGGGUUGUAAACCUCUUUUAGUAGGGAAGAAGCGAAAUGACGGUACCUGCAGAAAAAGCACCGGCUAACUACGUGCCAGCAGCCGCGGAAUACGUAGGGUGCAAGCGUUGUCCGGAAUUAUUGGGCGUAAAGAGCUCGUAGGCGGCUUGUCGCGUCUGCUGUGAAAUCCCGAGGCUCAACCUCGGGCUUGCAGUGGGUACGGGCAGGCUAGAGUGCGGUAGGGGAGAUUGGAAUUCCUGGUGUAGCGGUGGAAUGCGCAGAUAUCAGGAGGAACACCGAUGGCGAAGGCAGAUCUCUGGGCCGCUACUGACG
rnacentral:rRNA from 1 species